rnacentral:lncRNA from 1 species
UGUUGUAAACACCCAUGUUUUCAACACACCGUUUGUCUCAAAGCUGAUUUGAAAUAAAAUUAAAUUUAAAAAAAGCAUAACCUUAAAAUAUCUAAUGUCAACUUGACGUUUAAAUGUCAACACUACAAUUUUUAUAAAUAAUCUAUGUAUGUCAAUGACUCCAACAAAUACAUACGUAUAUCCCUAAAUAAACUUAUUAUUUACAGUGUAAACAACUUUUUAGCAUAUAAAAUCAUGAAUGGAUCGUAACGAAAUCAAUUUUACCCAAGAAAUAGUUGAAAUCUCUCUCAACCAUGAUUUUGGUUCAAUUUUUGCUCAUUUUAACAAUGUUUUCAAUAACAAACUCGUAUUUGCAUCGACAUUGUAUUCUACAACCUCAUUUGUGCCACUUUAAUCGUGGUCCAUCUAUUGUUGUUGUGGAUUGUUCGAAGUGCUGCAGAGAACCAAAUAAAGUGCCUCCGAUUCCUCUUUAUACAUCUUCGGUUCCUCCGGAAACUUCAGGAACUUCAGGACUUUCGGAAACAAUAACAACAGAUGAGACAACUACAAUAACAGAAUCUAUUAUUACAGGAAAACCAGAUCCGUCAAAAUAAUUUUAUUAUUGUAUUUUAACACAAACAAUAACAACGAUUUUAUCUUGAAAUUAAAACGUUUUCGUCGUACUCAAUUUCAAAAUUUUUGCAUUCCUUUUUGCUGCAAACGAAUGAGUAUUUUUUUGGUAAUUUUACGCAAAAGCAUCGUGCGCAUCCGAUCAUUUUAACUUGUCCUAACGAACAAUCUAAGAAAAGAUCAAGUAGUUUAGUUACUUAAUUAAAUCUACUUACCAUUUUGUUCGUUAAUAACUGAAUUAAAAACGCCGAAUAAAAUCGAAAAAAUUGUUAUUAAAGCAAAGGAGUGAAUCAUUUUACUUAAUAUUUAGGAUUUAAACUACAUCGUAAAGAAUUAAUGGCGUAUUGUGCUAUUGUCUUUAUAUUUAUGAUUAAUAAAACUCUUGUUUAUGAAUAUAAACGGUUUAUAAUAAAAUUGUUGAAUAUUCAAUAAAUCGGUACAGCGUUCUACUUUAUCGUACGCGAAUUGACAGAUCAUUUCAGAGAUUAUUAUAACAAAUAAUAACUGUGUUACUUUACAACCGUUAAACCAGUGUUAUAUUUAAGCUAUUUAAGGUGAUCUUGUGUAUUAUUGUGAGUGUUUAAUAAAAUAGUAUAUUAUUUAUAAUUGUUGAAUAUUCAAUAAGUCGGUACAGCGUUCUACUUUAUCGUACGCGAGUUGACAGAUCAUUUCAGAGAUUAUUAUAACAAAUAAUAACUGUGUUACUUUACAACCGUUAAACCAUUGUUAUAUUUAAGCUAUUUAAGGUGAUCUUGUGUAUUAUUGUGAGUGUUUAAUAAAAUAGUGUAUUAUUUAUAAUUGUUGAAUAUUCAAUAAAUCGGUACAACGUUCUACUUUAUCGUACGCGAAUUGACAGAUCAUUUCAGAGAUUAUUAUAACAAAUAAUAACUGUGUUACUUUACAACCGUUAAACCAGUGUUAUAUUUAAGCUAUUUAAGGUGAUCUUGUGUAUUAUUGUGAGUGUUUAAUAAAAUAGUAUAUUAUUUAUAAUUGUUGAAUAUUCAAUAAAUCGGUACAGCGUUCUACUUUAUCGUACGCGAAUUGACAGAUCAUUUCAGAGAUUAUUAUAACAAAUAAUAACUGUGUUACUUUACAACCGUUAAACCAGUGUUAUAUUUAAGCUAUUUAAGGUGAUCUUGUGUAUUAUUGUGAGUGUUUAAUAAAAUAGUAUAUUAUU